rnacentral:rRNA from 1 species
GUUUGCGAUCAUACCAGCACUAAUGCACCGGAUCCCAUCAGAACUCCGCAGUUAAGCGUGCUUGGCGAGAGUAGUACUAGGAUGGGUGACCCCCUGGGAAGUCCUCGUGUUGCAACCC